UACGGAGGAUGCAAGCGUUAUCCGGAAUGAUUGGGCGUAAAGCGUCCGCAGGUGGCGAUGUAAGUCUGCUGUUAAAGAGUCUAGCUCAACUAGAUAAAAGCAGUGGAAACUACAUAGCUAGAGUACGUUCGGGGCAGAGGGAAUUCCUGGUGUAGCGGUGAAAUGCGUAGAGAUCAGGAAGAACACCAGUGGCGAAGGCGGCUCACUGGCCCGGUACUGACGCUGAGGGACGAAAGCUAGGGGAGCGAAUGGG
rnacentral:rRNA from 1 species